rnacentral:rRNA from 1 species
UAGCGAAAUUCCUUGUCGGGUAAGUUCCGACCCGCACGAAUAGUGUAACGACAGCCACACUGUCUCCACGAUGGACUCGGCGAAAUUGUGGUCGUGGUGAAGACGCCACGUUCCCGCACCAAGACGGAAAGACCCCGUGAACCUUUACUGUAACCUAAUACUGGCUCUAGGUUCGUCAUGUGUAGCAUAGGUGGGAGACGUUGAUGUCGGAGGCGCCAGCCUUCGAAUAGUCACCGGUGAAAUACCACUCUUGGCGUAUUUGGAGUCUAACCUGUGACCGUUAUCCGGCAUGGGAACAGUGUUAGGCGGGCAGUUUGACUGGGGCGGUCUCCUCCUAAAGAGUAGCGGAGGAGCGCAAAGGUACCCUCAAUGCGGUUGGUAAUCGCAUGCAGAGCGCAAAGGUAUAAGGGUGCUUAACUGCGAGACAUAUAGGUCGAGCAGAUACGAAAGUAGGUCUUAGUGAUCCGGUGGUUCCGUGUGGAAGGGCCAUCGCUCAUCAGAUAAAAGGUACUCCCGGGAUAACAGGCUGAUCACUCCCAAGAGCUCACAUCGACGGAGUGGUUUGGCACCUCGAUGUCGGCUCGUCACAUCCUGGGGCUGGAGAAGGUCCCAAGGGUUGGGCUGUUCGCCCAUUAAAGUGGCACGCGAGCUGGGUUCAGAACGUCGCAAGACAGUUCGGUCCCUAUCUGUUGCGGGCGUAGGAAUAUUGAGGAGAUCUGACACUAGUACGAGAGGACCGUGUUGGACGUACCUCUAGUGUACCAGUUGUGCCGCCAGGUGCAUUGCUGGGUAGCUAUGUACGGCAUGGAUAAGCGCUGAAAGCAUCUAAGCGCGAAGCCAACUCCAAGAUGAGUAUUCCAUUGAGGGUCGUAGAAGAUGACUACGUUGAUAGGCUACAGGUGGAAGUGCAGCAAUGUAUGGAGCCAAGUAGUACUAAUUACCCGAUAGCUU